UUUUUUGGGGGGGGGGCGGUGUUCAAACUAGCAAGCAACAAUCGGGACAAAUGUUUCCGCCGUCUCAAAUGUUGUAGCCCCUCGAAGUCGUGUGUGGCAGCUGCAUCCAGUGUUUGCUGUGCGAACGACAACAGCAAGACGUCAUCCGUCCUCCACAAAGUGCGCGAGCCACGUUGAGGUGGAGAGUCCCGAGUGGGCGAUGCAAGGUGGAGCGACUGACCUUGGUGUACUUGAUCUCCGGGUUGGGCACCGGCGUGGGCAUGAGCUGCAGGGAUGCCAUGAGGGCCGCCGGGUCGCUCUUCACCUCGCCGGGCAUGCGGAUCUCGCUGGAAGUCAUCGCGGCGUGUCGUCUCUCUCUCUCUCUCUCUCUCUCUCUCUC